ensembl:snRNA U6 U6 spliceosomal RNA
GUGCUCACUUCGGCAGCACAUAUACUAAAAUUGGAACGACAAGAGAAGAUCAGCAUGGUCCCUGCGCAAGGAUGACACGCAAAUUCAUGAAGCGUUCCAUAUUUAA